rnacentral:ncRNA from 1 species
UUACGAGUUCUAUCAGGUAAAGCCAAUGAUUAGAGGCGUUGGGAUGAAACGUGAACCGUGCCAUGGAAUAGGUAGGAUGGCUCGGCUGCUUCGGUGAGCCGUGCCACGGAAUCGGGUGCUCCAAGUGGGCCAUUUUUGGUAAGCAGAACUGGCGAUGCGGGAUGAACCGGAAGCCGGGUUACGGUGCCCAACUGCGCGCUAACCUAGAACGCA